AGGAGCCCAGCUGACUUCCCCCAGUGGAUCGUUUUAGGGCUGCAGGCGGAGCUGCCCACCACUCCUAUACUGUGGCGAGGGGCAGGGAGCAUCUGUCGGGGAGCCCAAGCCUCAGGCAGGUCCUUCAGGAGGGAUUCCAGAAGAAGGCAUUGUUAUCAUAGGAGAUGACAGCUCCAUGCCUGUUUGUGCCCGUGAAGACCUCCCAGUGGGACAAGAUGUGGAGGUGGAAGACAAUAAUAUUGAUGAUCCUGACCUGUGUAAAGGCCAAGCCUACACAGCGUUAACUGCAGUGGAAGAUUGUGCUUUUAUCAGAAGCAGCUGAACACCUGAGGACAGGAACAUGGCUGAAGCAAUUCAUUUCUCCAAUUCACUUUGUUCUACUUUAUCAUCAUCAUUCCGGUAUUAUCAUCAUGUUCAUCAGAUUCUCCAUCUAAAAAAGAUUUAUCACAGUGUCUGCAUCUGCAGGCGAUACUACAAUAUAGAUAAAACCAUUGCUCCCUGCCUGCUCCGGAUGAGUUUGCAAAGAGGUAUGGUAUAGAAGAAACACUUUGUGCUUUGAAGCAAGACAAAACUGAGUUAAAAUGGCAAUCUUAGCCUGGGCAACAUAGUGAGACCCCCAUCUCUGCAAAAAAUACAAAAAUUAGCUGAGC